AGUCUACGGGAGGCAGCAGUGAGGAAUAUUGGUCAAUGGACGGAAGUCUGAACCAGCCAAGUAGCGUGCAGGAUGACGGCCCUCCGGGUUGUAAACUGCUUUUAGUUGGGAAUAAAAAGAGGGACGUGUCCCUAAUUGUAUGUACCUUCAGAAAAAGGACCGGCUAAUUCCGUGCCAGCAGCCGCGGUAAUGACU
rnacentral:rRNA from 1 species